AUUGAACGCUGGCGGCAGGCCUAACACAUGCAAGUCGAGCGGAUGAGUGGAGCUUGCUCCAUGAUUCAGCGGCGGACGGGUGAGUAAUGCCUAGGAAUCUGCCUGGUAGUGGGGGACAACGUUUCGAAAGGAACGCUAAUACCGCAUACGUCCUACGGGAGAAAGUGGGGGAUCUUCGGACCUCACGCUAUCAGAUGAGCCUAGGUCGGAUUAGCUAGUUGGUGAGGUAAAGGCUCACCAAGGCGACGAUCCGUAACUGGUCUGAGAGGAUGAUCAGUCCCACUGGAAAUGAGACACGGUCCAGACUCCUACGGGAGGCAGCAGUGGGGAAUAUUGGACAAUGGGCGAAAGCCUGAUCCAGCCAUGCCGCGUGUGUGAAGAAGGUCUUCGGAUUGUAAAGCACUUUAAGUUGGGAGGAAGGGCAGUAAGUUAAUACCUUGCUGUUUUGACGUUACCAACAGAAUAAGCACCGGCUAGCUUCGUGCCAGCCGCCGCUGUAACAC
rnacentral:rRNA from 1 species